GAACCAGACUCCUACGGGAGGCAGCAGUGGGGAAUCUUCCGCAAUGGGCGAAAGCCUGACGGAGCAACGCCGCGUGAUCGAAUGAGGGCCUUCGGGUUGUAAAGAUCUGUUGACAGGGACGAAUAAGCAAUGCGAAUAGUUUUGUGUAUGACGGUACCUGUUUAGAAAGCUCCGGCUAACUCCGUGCCAGCAGCCGCGGUAAUACGGAGGAUGCGAGCGUUAUCCGGAUUUAUUGGGUUUAAAGGGUGCGCAGGCGGAAUGUCAAGUCAGCGGUAAAAUUUCGGGGCUCAACCCCGUCGUGCCGUUGAAACUGGCGUUCUUGAGUGAGCGAGAAGUAUGCGGAAUGCGUGGUGUAGCGGUGAAAUGCAUAGAUAUCACGCAGAACUCCGAUUGCGAAGGCAGCAUACCGGCGCCCUACUGACGCUGAGGCACGAAAGCGCGGGUAUCGAACAGGAUUAGAUACCCUAGUA
rnacentral:rRNA from 1 species